rnacentral:piRNA from 3 species
CCGGAUAGCUCAGUCGGUAGAGC